GUGUCCUCGUUUAAACAAGCCUCGCUUAAACGAGACGGCUUUCGUAGGACAAACGGAAACGUAACGUAACAUGGUUGCUAUGACAGCACGCCACUCUUUAACAAGCGCGAGCGCUUUGAGUGAGACGGGAACAAAGUCUCUUUGGAAGAGAAUAUAUGAGACCAGCACGGACUACACCACCCAGCCCCUGGCUGUCUGACGUUCUUCGUGAACAUCGGACUGAUCUCAGGGCAGCUGAGAGGAGAUGGCGGAAAUCUAAAGAUCCAGCUGAUCUAGCCCAAUGACACCACAGUGACCGCUCGAAUCGCUGCCUGUCUGGCAGACAUCUCAGCCUGGAUGAAGGAACACCACCUUCAACUCAACCCUGCCAAGACCGAACUCCUUGUCUUUCCAGCCAACCCGGCUGUUGAACACAACAUCACCGUGCAGCUGUGUUCCAUUCUCUACUUGAUAGACCUUAGAAAAAGCAGAACCCACUCUUACUUGUAUUGUUCUUUUAAACAAGAAAUUCAUAAUCCAGUAAUACAGUCUUGUACUUCCAUUCUAUCCAGUUUUAUUAAAAGUCCCUCUUUCCAUAUCAUAUUAUAUGAUUUUACAACAUCAAAGCAUACUCCUACUAACACUUCCUGGUUUACUUGAGCCUUUCUUAUUUCAGCUUCCAGCCAUAAAACAGAAUCCAUUGUGUUUCUCCCUUUUCUGAAACUACUUUGGAAUGCAGAGAAAAGGUUUUUCUUUUCAAUAACAUAUAUCAAUCUGUUAAUGACCAUAUGUCCAUUAGUUUGCAUAAAUGUGUUAAUGCUAUGGGCUUGUAGUUAGUGUGCUGCGAAUUAUCCUUCCUUGGCUUUUCUAUUGGAACUAUGAUCCCAAGCUUCCAGUCAGCUGGUAAUUUCCCUUAUUCCCGCACCUUAUUAAAAAGACUCAAAAUAAUAUUUAGUGAUGUUUCUGUAAUAUAUAAAUAAUAUUUAGUGAUGAUAGGUGUUUUACCAUCUCAUAACGGAUGUCAUCUCUACCUGGAGAAGUUUCCUUUACCCCAGCAAGCACUUUCUUCAGUUCAAAUAGGGUAAUCUCUAAAUCUAAUGUAAUGGUCCUUUUUCUUCCAAAAUUUUAAGGUUCUUACUCAAGCUCAGAUCCCUAUAUCUCCUAAAAUUCUUCUGUUAUUUUUGAAUUACUAUGCAUUUUAGCAAAUGUUUCUGCUAACACCUCUGCUUUUUCACUGUCUGAUAUUACUGAUCUAUUGUUAUAUACUAAGACAGAAAUGUUUCCCUCCCAUCUUUCUUAUCAUACACCAUACUCCAUUCAUUUCAAUUUCUUCUCCUAUUUUAUUACAAAAUUCCCUGAAUUUCUUUUCUUAGAUGUCUGUAUUACUCUUCUCACUAUAGCAUGUGCUCUUUUAUAAUUCAUAAAAUCAUUAUAAUUGAAUGAUCUUCUUACUCUCUUCAGUGUUUUAUUUCUUUUUAUAAUUGCCUCAUUGCAUUCCUCAUUCCACCAAGGGGCAGCUUUUCUCCUGCUUCCUGUCCUCUUCUUACCAAUUACUUAUUCAAUUGUACUCCGAAGAACUUAAUUAAAAACUUCUACAUCCUCUAUAGAAUUACUAAU